rnacentral:rRNA from 1 species
UACGUAGGGUGCAAGCGUUGUCCGGAAUUAUUGGGCGUAAAGAGCUCGUAGGCGGUUUGUCGCGUCUGCUGUGAAAACUGGAGGCUCAACCUCCAGCCUGCAGUGGGUACGGGCAGACUAGAGUGCGGUAGGGGAGAUUGGAAUUCCUGGUGUAGCGGUGGAAUGCGCAGAUAUCAGGAGGAACACCGAUGGCGAAGGCAGAUCUCUGGGCCGUAACUGACGCUGAGGCGCGAAAGCGUGGGUAGCAAACAGG